rnacentral:rRNA from 1 species
GCGAGAAAGCCCCUUCGGGGGUGAGUAAAGCGGCGGACGGGUGAGUAACGCGUGGAUGACCUACCUUUGGAUCUGGGAUAACCCUGCGAAAGCGGGGCUAAUACCGGAUAGUCUCGGUACUGAAUAGAGUACUGGGUAAAGGCUGCCUCUGUUGCAAGCAGCUGUCCAGGGAUGGGUCCGCGUCCCAUUAGUUUGUUGGUGGGGUAAAGGCCUACCAAGGCGACGAUGGGUAGCUGGUCUGAGAGGAUGAUCAGCCACACUGGGACUGGAACACGGCCCAGACUCCUACGGGAGGCAGCAGUGGGGAAUAUUGGGCAAUGGGCGAGAGCCUGACCCAGCGACGCCGCGUGAGGGAAGAAGGUCCUCGGAUCGUAAACCUCUGUCAGGAGGGAAGAAGUUAUAUGUGCUUAACAGGUGCAUAUAUUGACGGUACCUCCAGAGGAAGCGCCGGCCAACUCCGUGCCAGCAGCCGCGGUAAUACGGAGGGCGCAAGCGUUAUUCGGAAUCACUGGGCGUAAAGCGCGCGUAGGCGGCCAUGCAAGUCAGGUGUGAAAGCCCUCGGCUUAACCGGGGAAUUGCACUUGAAACUGUGUGGCUAGAGUUCGGGAGAGGGUGGCGGAAUUCCAGGUGUAGGAGUGAAAUCCGUAGAUAUCUGGAGGAACACCAGAGGCGAAGGCGGCCACCUGGACCGAAACUGACGCUGAGGCGCGAAAGCGUGGGUAGCAAACAGGAUUAGAUACCCUGGUAGUCCACGCUGUAAACGAUGGAUGCUAAAUGCAGGGGACGUUAGAGUUUUCUGUGUUGCAGCUAACGCGUUAAGCAUCCCGCCUGGGGAGACGUCGCAAGGCUGAACUCAAGGAUUGACGGGGCCGACAGCGUGGAUAUGUGGUUAAUCAUCACCGAAACUUACUGGCUGACUCCCGAAUCGCGGAAAUGAUGCCUCGAUCCGUACGGGUCUGGUUCUCACCGC